GGUGCCCUCACUCCCUGCUCCCCGCCCCCCCCAUACGGGUCUUUUCCUGGUGCCAGGGCUUGAGGAGGCAGCAGUGGGGAGGGUUGCAGGAGAGCUCUGGAGUUAAGCUUAAUUACAAGUAAAUACAAUUUCUCUGGGACCGCUGGGAAAAGGCAGCAGAUAAGAUCAGUGAAAGUGCUCAGAGGGCCUUGGGAGGCAGCUCCUCUACAAAUAUGGGAUUGGCUUUUAUUGUUGCUGCUGUUAAUAAAACAGAUGUUCUCAAAACAUUCCUCCAACCGCUGACAGGACUUGGAAAUGGCUGUCCCUUUAUUGGUUGCUGAAACCAAAUAAAAAUCAAAUUAAAGUUUAAUUUACCUCAUAAUUUUCUUCGUGGCAGUUCUGCUGGGCCAGCCGUGAGGCAGAGCCAACGUCCCCUCCUCCGUGGCAUACAUCACCUUCAGCCUGAAGCCCCCAGGGGUCACCUGCUCCUUCCCCCUCUGCCAGAGGCCCAGCGUGGGUGGUAUGAGCAGCUGGCAGAAGGGCCACUGCUUAGGCCAAGAUGAGAGAAGGCUGGAAGCUGCUGGAUGAUACCAGAGAGGACCUCCCUCCUCUUCUCCUCUUUUCCGUGGGGUCUCCAUGUCUAGGACUUCCAGGGCACCAUUCCAACUCUGGCCGAUGAUUCCACACAUCCUGGGAGUUAACCCCUUGCCACCAGCCGUAAACUCCGAGCUGGGCUCUGCAUCAAGUGCUCUACAAAUGCAAGCCAGUGAUGUCUUCGUGUAAAUCAGACAAGACACAAAGCCGAGGAGGUGAUCACGAUGGAAGCAGGUGCUGACACAGUCUUCAAGGUCAAGUGCCCCAAGGAAAACCAUGGCAGUGACGCAAGAACCUCAGCGGUAAAACCCAGGCAGGGCUUCAGGGCUUCAAAUCCCCCUCAGAGCACCCCAACCCCCAACAGAGAGAGUCGAAGAUAGAGAAAAUUUAUGGAUGAGGUGCAUGCGCCAUUAAAGGAGUCCUGUCUUUCAUGGCCAUCCUUUGGGACAAACGUUGUGUCUACAAGGCAAGGACACUGAUGAUUCCUUACCACCUCCCGGAAGAGGAUGGGGAAAACCCAGUCACAAAGGGAAGAGCAUGAUGAGAGACAGAGCUCACAUCACAGAGAUCCUAGGGGAUGCUAUUUUUUCUCUUCUUUCUAAAGUCUCUGUAAAAAAGCUCCAGACUUUUGUUUCUGAGUUGUGACCACUUUAAAGAAUGUAAAAUCCGAGCUAAAGUGGCUGCCACAUGAUUUCACCUCUGGCUGCUGGUGUGAGACACAGGGGUGGGGCUCUGGGGGUUGACAUCUGACUCUCAGCCUUGGGGAAGAAUGUGGUUAGAAAGAAGGGGUCUCUGAUGUGAUGCUGCUGCCAGUGGAGUUUGGGGCUUUGUGCCGUAACUAGAAGCAAUUCAGGCAGGAAAGGCUGGAGGAACUGAUGAAAAGGAACAGCAGGCAGAAGUGGAGGGAGAUGCAAGGCUGUGGAAAAAGGAGAAAAUAAACAGAGGUGACUCACGCUAUCUCUAAUCCAUGCCAAGCUCCCCUGCUCCCCUGUGUACAGGGACCAGGGGAAAUCUUCAACUUAGUUUCUGGUCAGUGUAGGCCAAAAAUCUACACUUGCAGUAACUCUUCAUCAUUUCAUAAAGCUUUCUGCUCAGAGCAUCUUAGUUGGUCUAAUGAAUUUGUAAAGGUAUAAAGAAUUUGUGUGAUUUUUUCCCCCAGGCUCCUAGCAUGGAGCUUCUAACAUCCUCGGGAUUUCCUGAAUGAUAGAAGUACCUCUGUUAUUCGUGAGUCCUGUCUAUCACUAUGCUAUCAUGAAGUUAACGAGGUGACUCAUUUGUGGGACCCUAAAUAGCUUCAGAAUGGGAGCUGGUCACCAGGAAGACUGACCGUAUGAUUAGAGGGUCUUUAGUUGGCUCUUUGAGCUAGCUCUGGCUCCAGGGAAAGAAGGAAGACUGGUGAUUGAGUUUAACUAUGGGGCCAAUGAUUUAAUCAAUUAUGCCUAUGUAAUAAAACUCUGGAUGCCAAAGCUCAGUGGAACUUUCUGACUGGUGAACACUUUGAUGUGCUGGACAUGAUGCACCCUCACUCCAUGAGAAGACUGCCCAGGACCCUCCCAGACCUCAUAUGUGUCUCUUCAUUUGGCUGUUCCUGAUCUGUAUGUAUUUUUUUAAUAAUAAAAGUGUACUCAUAGUCUAGCUCUUUCCUGAGUUCUU
rnacentral:lncRNA from 1 species